CCCUUAGAUGUCCUGGGCCGCACGCGCGUUACACUGAUGCAUUCAACGAGCUUAUAACCUUGGCCGAGAGGCCUGGGCAAUCUUGUUAACGUGCAUCGUGAUAGGGAUAGAUUAUUGAAAUUAUUAAUCUUGAACGAGAAAUUCCUAGUAAACGCAGAUCAUCAAUCUGCAUUGAUUACGUCCCUGCCCUUUGUACACACCGCCCGUCGCACCUACCGAUUGAAUGGUCCGGUGAAAUCUUCGGACCGCGCAACGCCGCAAGGUGAUGCGUGGAAAGUUGCUUAAACCUUACCAUUUAGAGGAAGGUGAAGUCGUAACA
rnacentral:rRNA from 1 species